CCUACGGGUGGCAGCAGUGAGGAAUAUUGGUCAAUGGGCGGAAGCCUGAACCAGCCAAGUCGCGUGAGGGACUAAGGCCCUACGGGUCGUAAACCUCUUUUGCCGGGGAUCAGUGCCCAGCUCGCGAGCUGGGAGGGAGCGUACCCGGAGAAAAAGCAUCGGCUAACUCCGUGCCAGCAGCCGCGGUAAUACGGAGGAUGCGAGCGUUAUCCGGAUUUAUUGGGUUUAAAGGGUGCGUAGGCGGGCUUUUAAGUCAGCGGUAAAAAUUCGGGGCUCAACCCCGUCCGGCCGUUGAAACUGGGGGCCUUGAGUGGGCGAGAAGAAGGCGGAAUGCGUGGUGUAGCGGUGAAAUGCAUAGAUAUCACGCAGAACCCCGAUUGCGAAGGCAGCCUUCCGGCGCCCUACUGACGCUGAGGCACGAAAGUGCGGGGAUCGAACAGGAUUAGAUACCCUUGUAGUC
rnacentral:rRNA from 1 species